rnacentral:rRNA from 1 species
GACGAACGCUGGCGGCGUGCUUAACACAUGCAAGUCGAACGAAGAGCGAUGGAAGCUUGCUUCUAUCAAUCUUAGUGGCGAACGGGUGAGUAACGCGUAAUCAACCUGCCCUUCAGAGGGGGACAACAGUUGGAAACGACUGCUAAUACCGCAUACGAUCUAAUCUCGGCAUCGAGGAUAGAUGAAAGGUGGCCUCUACAUGUAAGCUAUCACUGAAGGAGGGGAUUGCGUCUGAUUAGCUAGUUGGAGGGGUAACGGCCCACCAAGGCGAUGAUCAGUAGCCGGUCUGAGAGGAUGAACGGCCACAUUGGGACUGAGACACGGCCCAGACUCCUACGAGAGGCAGCAGUGGGGAAUCUUCCGCAAUGGACGAAAGUCUGACGGAGCAACGCCGCGUGAGUGAUGACGGCCUUCGGGUUGUAAAGCUCUGUUAAUCGGGACGAAAGGCCUUCUUGCGAAUAGUGAGAAGGAUUGACGGUACCGGAAUAGAAAGCCACGGCUAACUACGUG